rnacentral:rRNA from 1 species
UACGGAGGGUGCAAGCGUUGUUCGGAAUCACUGGGCGUAAAGCGCGUGUAGGCGGCCUCCUAAGUCUGGUGUGAAAGCCCGGGGCUUACCCCCGGAAGUGCACUGGAUACUGGGAGACUAGAGUACCGGAGAGGAGGGUGGAAUUCCUGGUGUAGCGGUGAAAUGCGUAGAUAUCAGGAAGAACACCGGUGGCGAAGGCGGCCCUCUGGACGGAUACUGACGCUGAGACGCGAAAGCGUGGGGAGCAAACAGG